rnacentral:rRNA from 1 species
AAUGAACGCUGGCGGCAGGCCUAACACAUGCAAGUCGAACGAGUGGCGGACGGGUGAGUAACGUCUGGGAAACUGCCCGAUGGAGGGGGAUAACUACUGGAAACGGUAGCUAAUACCGCAUACCAUCGGAUGUGCCCAGAUGGGAUGAGCUAGUAGGUGGGGUAAUGGCUCACCUAGGCGACGAUCCGUAGCUGGUCUGAGAGGAUGACCGGCCAAACUGGAACGGAGACACGGUCCAGACGCCUACGGGAGGCAGCAGUGGGGAAUAUUGCACAAUGGGCGCAAGCCUGAUGAAGCAAUGCCGCGUGUAUGAAGAAGGCCUGCGGGUUGUAAAGUACUUUCAGCGAGGAGGCGUUACUCGCAGAAGAAGCACCGGCUAACUACGUGCCAGCAGCCGCGGUAAUAC